UGAACAAUGAAAGCGAGCCGAAUGAUGGAUUGCCGAAUGGCAUCGUAUGAGCUCCUCCCUCCGAUGUCUCUCUCUCUCUCUUGCCGAAUGGCAUCGCAUGAGCUCCUCCCUCCGAUUGUCUCUCUCUCUCUCUCUCAAGCAAGCUUGCCCUCGUUCACAUCCAAGAGAGGAACAGUAGCAUUCUUCAUUUGCAAGCGAAGUCUCCUAUAUUUGGCUUGUGGGUGCUGCUUUUCUUCGAAGACCAAUUUCGGGGACUAGGAGAGAGAGACUUAACCCAGAAAUUUGGUAAGAAAAGACUCCGACCAGUUGAACAUCUGAUACUGACAGUAUUAUUUGCUGGUAUUAUAUUUUAUUACUCCAAGAACGAACCAAUACAUGUAUAAUUCUACACUUGCAAACUCACUUUAUUUCUCUGUAUAAUUCAUAACAAAUAGCGGGACUCCUUUUUUUCAAGACCCAAACCCCUUAGGACAGAGGAGGAGGAAGAACCAUAUUAAUUCACAGGUUGUGAAGAGCACAGAGGCUGUUCGAUCGAUACCAUUUAUAGCAAGCGGAGACGACCUGCAACGCGCCUUCAUCACCUCCGCCACCCUCAUGCAGGACGCCACUGAGCUGCGCGCCGGCGCGGAGACUGCGGAGCCGCGGGCGCCGUCAGUGGUCUCGGAGACGAAGGAAAGAAGCGGACGUCCGACGACAGAAACCUGCCGGAGUCACCGGCCGGUAGCCGCACGUAGGAAGCCGAGGGGGAGUCGUGGAACAACAAGCUCCCUAUGUUGGAAACCUGUCCGCCGUUCUUGUAUCGGACUAUGGCCUUGUAGACGAACGGAAUGAGACCUUCCAUGGUGAGAGCACAAAA